UCGGCCAUGGCUGCCCGCGUCCCUCGCUGGGUUGCAGUCCCUGGACCCGGCCUGUCGGGCCCGGGGCGGCGCGGCAGCGACGGCGGAAGCGGAGCGGGACCCGCCUAACCUGAGAGCUACUGCCGGGCGGCAGCGAACUGCGUCCCGAGCCACGUGCCCCGCUGGCCCUUUAAAAAAGAGCUGCGCUCGGCGGCCGAGCUUGAGGACGCGCACAGCGCCCCCUGCAGCCCGUAGGACCGCACGCCCGCGGCCGCCGCCCCGCGCCCUCCCGAGGCCUUCAGCGCCCGCGGCGUCCGGGACCCAGGCGCGGCCACCCACCCUCACCCGGGGCGCGGGAGUUGACGCCAGGGCGGGCGUGCCACGGCCUCCAGCGGGGCUACGUCAGGCGUAAGCCACUCCCGGGCCAGCGCGGCGCCCAACCUCUCUCUGCGUCCCACGCGGGAGCCGGGAGGGCUGCGGGAAGGAACCGCGCUGGAAAGUGCGAAACCUCGCGAGGGAAAGCUGCGUGGGGAACGGGGUCGGCCCUCGCCGGGGCUCCAGUCCGGACCGAGACUCUGUUGCAGCGCCUCCCACGCACCACAGAACUGAGUUGGGGAAAGUAAAAAGGAUACGUGUGUACCCAGGGAGAAGCCAGGGAAACUUACAUGAACGUUUUUAAAGUCUCUUUUAAAUUUGACAGAACAAACGUGAAGAUGCACCUGGCAGAACAGGCUUUCAAUGGAGGAUGGCAGAAGCAGACAAGAAGAGGCGAAUCUUUCGUAUACCAUAAGAGAGUGCCUCUGCAUGCACAGAAUCACCUGGGGAGCUUGCUGAGAUGCAGAUUCUGACUCGGGGGUCUAGGUGGAGCCUGAGUCUGCACCAUUUCACACUCCUAGGGGAUGCCGCUGCUGCCAGCAGAGAGCCCACACUUCAGGACACAGGAUCCAGCUUUGACACUGAGUUCCUAACUGCAGAAGCACCACCACCCCACAGCCAAGUGUGUGGCUCGGAAGCAAGAUGCUCUGGGUUUCCAUCACCUCUGCCACCUUACUUCACUUCUCAGGCCUCCUCCCACAUCUCAUACGGAAAACUAGGUAAAAUCAUGCUCACCACCCAAAACUAUAAGGAUUUGUUUUCAUGGAAAUAAUUUGAAUAGUGCCUAGCACACAAGUAUUCAACAAGUGUCAGCAGGAGUCCAAUUGCUUGAUACAAUUAUUUCCCAGCCUCAAGGAAAACUUAACUUAAUUGGAGAAGUAGGACCAUAUUUUGUGCUUCGCUUUUCCCCACAACACAAGGCCCAAGGCUGCUCACAUUAAAACGCUCAACAAUUGGGAAGUAAGAGUAACUAAGGACAGGACAGAGGGGGUGUCUAUAAGGCAAAGGCUUGAGGGUAAGAAAAAACUGCAGAAGAAACAGGAAAGAAACUGCAAAGGUUUUCCUGACGAAGCUACCUACCCACCUCACACAGCGCCAGCCCUACAAGGAUUCCCUCCAUGUUGUUUCUGUAACAAGACAAUCCCAUACCUUAUAGCAGGAGGCCUCAACCCCUGGACUGUGGAUCAGUACUGGUCCAUGGCCUGUUAGGAAUCAGGCCACACAGCAGGUUAGCUCUGCCUCCUGUCAGAUCAGCGGCGGCAUUAGAUUCUCAUAGAAUGAACCCUAUUGUGAACUGCGCUCGCGAGGGAUCUAGGUUGUGCGCUCCUUAUGAGAAUCUAACGCCUGAUGAUCUGAGGUGGAACAGUUUCAUUCCAAAACCAUCCCGUCCCCCACCACUGUCUGUGGAAAACCUGUCUUCCACGAAACCAGUCCUGGUGCCAAAAAGGUUGGGGACCCCUGCCUUACAGCAAGCCAAGUUUCCUUCUACUUAUUUGCUCGCUCUCCCCGUGGAAAACUGUAAUGUCUUUUAACGGGUCUCCUUUGGUCCCAAGUGUUCUUACAAAAUGUUUUGUGUACAUGCAUUUUUAAUUUAUAUAAAUGGUGUUACAUUAUA